rnacentral:rRNA from 1 species
UUCCGGUUGAUCCUGCCGGAGGACAUUGCUAUUGGGAUUCGAUUUAGCCAUGCUAGUCGAGCGAGUUCAGACUCGCGGCGAAUAGCUCAGUAACACGUGGCCAAGCUCCCCUUCAGUCAGCGAUACCCUCGGGAAACUGAGGUUAACAGCUGAUACAAGACGCCAGCUGGAAUGCGGCGUUUCAGAAAGACAUCGCUGAAGGAUGCGGCUGCGGCCGAUUAGGUAGACGGUGGGGUAACGGCCCACCGUGCCAGUAAUCGGUACGGGUGAUGAGAGUCAGAGCCCGGAGACGGAAUCUGAGACAAGAUUCCGGGCCCUACGGGGCGCAGCAGGCGCGAAACCUUUACACUGCACGGAAGUGCGAUAGGGGAAUCCCAAGUGCGAGGGCAUAUUAGCCCUCGCUUUUCUCGACUGUAAGGUGGUCGACGAAUAAGAGCUGGGCAAGACCGGUGCCAGCCGCCGCGGUAAUACCGGCAGCUCAAGUGAUGUCCCAUAUUAUUGGGCCUAAAGCGUCCGUAGCUGGCCGACCAAGUCUACCGGGAAAUCCACCCGCCCAACGGGUGGGCGUCCGGUAGAAACUGGCCGGCUUGGAACCGGAAGGCUCAGAGAGUACGUCCGGGGUAGGAGUGAAAUCCCGUAAUCCCGGACGGACUACCGAUGGCGAAAGCACUCU